UCCAGUUUACUAGUUUACUUAUCUUUACUGGGGUCCGUGCCUACAUACUACCCAUAGACUUAUUUGUACUUUAAAAUUAAAUUUUAAUAUUUGACAUCAAUAUUUAAUAUUAUUAUUCGAUAUUUAAAUGACGAAAACACGGCUGUUGGAAACGGAUGAAACGGAAACUGUUGUGAUGUCCGUUGCCUCGGAGCUGGUGGCUCGUUCUAUGUUCAUCGGUAGCCAGUAGGGUGUCAGUAUUCAGUACUUUGGUAUUCUAGGAAACAGCUCUAGUAAGUAUCGUUCUCAUAACUAACCAUUAUGUCCAUUAAUUAGUUUUUCCUCAGCAGGGUGGUCAAGUUAGUAAUUACCAGACGUUGUUGUGUUGUGAUCAACUAGGUACGUUCUUUUGUUGCCUUUGUUUGGGACUGUAGCAGGAAAAUGGUUCGUCAUAAAUGAAUGCAAAUUAUUGCUCUUGCUUCAACUCAAAGAACACGACACCCAGCACAUACAGCUUAAAUUAGGAUGCAAUUAAUGGCUAUCCAGCGACAACACUGAGAACACGACACCCAUUCUACAUAAUAUUCAUCAUCCGGUUGACAACGGUGCUUAUCUGAGUUCCAGCUACAGUAUAAAUAUAUGUUUGUCAUGUCUUAGGAAUUUUUUAAUAUAUAAGUCUUUAAAUAUUCUUUAUAAGUGUUAGGAUCAAACUCUAAACUGAACUUGAAAUUAUCCAUAAAUUUAAA